GAAAACUGGGGUAGAAAAUUUUACUUGUUUGUUUGCUUUGGUGCCUGAAUAGGAUUUCACCAUGAGGCACAAUGUUUGAUAUGACAAAAAGAAGAAGUCUCAACCCGAAUAAGAGAAAAGAAGAACAAGAAAAGAUGUUGAACUCUGAGCAUAGAAGCGGAGAAAAGAUGUGGAGAGUCCAAGAUAUGAUUGAAGUCACAAGUUUUUCAUGUCUCACCUUGAUUUGAAAAGCUGAAGAAGAAUGAGUCAGCGGGUACAACUAACAAGUAUCAAUAUUCAGAUUAGAGUCUGCAGGAAGAACCGUCCAAGAUUCGAGAUCAAGCUUUAGAAGGUUUAUAGAUAGGAAUCUUGUAACUCGUGAUUGAUAGGCUUAACCAAUUUAGCUUUUCAUCUUACAUUUUAGUGUAAUAAGAAGC
rnacentral:lncRNA from 1 species